rnacentral:lncRNA from 1 species
GUGAAAAAGAGAAUGGAGGAGUACAGAUCAGGAGCCACCACUACCUUUCAGGAUCACCAUGGUACAGAAAAAGACUACCAGUGUCUCCAGUGACACUCUGCAAACUGAAGAAGCAUCAGCUGCUGAAGUGGUUUGUAUCAUAGAAUUUUCUUCUUCUGGCCCUGGAUCCUGUGGAUAUCAGACAAAGCAGCUAUUUACCACCUAUAUGGCAUGGACGAGAAAAAGGAAAAACUAGGCAGGUAAGUGAUUUACUCAAGGUCAAUAGCUAAUACAAGCAAAGCCAAGACUUGAAUACUUCUGACUCCAAAUGGUCUCCCAUUCUACACCACAG